GAUGAACGCUGGCGGCGUGCCUAAUACAUGCAAGUCGAGCGAACGGACGAGAAGCUUGCUUCUCUGAUGUUAGCGGCGGACGGGUGAGUAACACGUGGAUAACCUACCUAUAAGACUGGGAUAACUUCGGGAAACCGGAGCUAAUACCGGAUAAUAUUUUGAACCGCAUGGUUCAAAAGUGAAAGACGGUCCUGCUGUCACUUAUAGAUGGAUCCGCGCUGCAUUAGCUAGUUGGUAAGGUAACGGCUUACCAAGGCAACGAUGCAUAGCCGACCUGAGAGGGUGAUCGGCCACACUGGAACUGAGACACGGUCCAGACUCCUACGGGAGGCAGCAGUAGGGAAUCUUCCGCAAUGGGCGAAAGCCUGACGGAGCAACGCCGCGUGAGUGAUGAAGGUCUUCGGAUCGUAAAACUCUGUUAUUAGGGGAGAACAUAUGUGUAAGUAACUGUGCACAUCUUGACGGUACCUAAUCAGAAAGCCACGGCUAACUACGUG
rnacentral:rRNA from 1 species